rnacentral:lncRNA from 1 species
CCACAAAGCAUUGCUGCUCUGGUCAUGCAGACAGAUAGCGGGCACAGGCAGACAGGCAGUUGCUGUAGGGAGAGGGAACUGCCAUUCCUCUGCACUAAGCCAGAGGGUCUGGUACAGCUGGUGGGGUUGGGUAAGAAGAGGUAGGAGUGUGGUGGUGGAUCAGCCCCACCCCUAUAUGGGGACAGGAAUGGGGACAGGGCUGAGCAUGGAGCUGCAGUACUGCCCUGUGCCUGCUGCUUGAGAAACACACGGGAAUGAGUGUCACUAAAACGGUUUAUUAUAUAAAGCCUUAGGAAACAUACAAGAGGUUGACAUUCAGGACACUUCCUUCUAGAGACUGCUCCAAGUGCCUCAGAAUAGCAAACACACAAACUCUGAUUUGCCUGCAUCAAAGCUUUCAAACGAGGGUUCAACCAGGAUCUGAAUACAGACUUAAUAACACUUCAACAUGCAUAACUUUUUCUGUUCCUACUGAAUCCUGGGCAGGGGGGAGAGUCUCUUCAUCCCACAGCUGGUUACAAAAUAACAGAUAAUCAUGACAAAAGAAUACAAAAGGAGGAAAAAAAAAAAACAAAAAAACGAAUAAACAUCACAAGAAGAUGCCUUCAGAGAAGCAUGGGUUAAGCAGGAAAGCAGGGCUGGGGGAAGUGCCCCAUGCAGGGCAGAGCAGAGGGGAUGCAGACUAGGCAGACAGCACAAGCUUCCCCCGCAGAGGAGCUCUGGGGGGGCAGGGCCAGCCAAGCCGCCGGGCAAGGCUGGCUCAAGCCCUCGUGUGAGCCUUGAGACACCUCGCUGUGAACAGUUAAGGACAGGCAGGGGCUUGGAGCAGUGCUCCAGCCCUGCGAGUGUCUGAGCUCUGCCGCAGAGCCACGUUGAGCAAAGGGUGCAGCACAUAGGUGGCAGAGUGGCUACAGGAAUCCCAUGGUGGUGACACGUGCUCCGCUCCAGCCCGGUGUCCCCAAGCCUUCCUAAUAGGGCAGAGAGUCCUGCAUGCACAGGUUGUGCAGCGCUGGGUUGUAAAGCCAUCCACUGUGCACGCCGCCAAGACCAGAGUGGGAGUUGCUGCCCUGCAGCACACAGAGCAGGGAAAAAUGGAGAAGAAUGAGCACCAUGCCCAGGGGAGCAAAUGCAUGCUGCCAGCGUGCAGAUCCAGCAGCCCUGCACUGAAGCUGCUGCUGCUGCUGCCCUUUGCUCAGCUCAUGCCCAGUCAGACAGGAAGCAAAAGAAUAGAGUAAAUAAUGGGGAUCUUGAAGCUCCUUUUCAACUUUAUUUAGCUUUGGCUCUGCACAGAGCCACAGUGUAGCAUACUCUAGCCUUCAAGGAGGGGCACAGGAACCUCCUGAACACACCGUGGUUCGGGGUCAGCCCUUAUCUCCUAUGCUAUGUGCCCUGCCUCUGCAAUGCUGUCAGGGGUAACUGGCACAAAGACUCUGAAGAAUAGAGAAAGCCCCUGCCCCACGGUGUCCUCCAAGGCUCAUAGGUCGUUGCUGCAGUCACGGCACAGGAUCUCAUCAUUGUCAGGGAUAAAGCCUUUCCCGACCAGAGAGGUGUCACAGCGAGCACAGUUAAAGCAGUUAUGGUGCCAGUGACGAUCCUCAAAGGAGAUAUAUUUACCACCACCGAAGCCUGUGAUGGGCUUUGUGCAGGCACUGCACUUCUUGGCAUAGAGGUUCCCAAAGCACUUGAUGCAGUAGGGGUUAUCAUCCUGGGAGGUGAACUGCUGGCCAGCCAGGGGGGUCAUGCAGCCCGUGCAGACAAAACACUCCUUGUGCCAUGGCUCGUCCCGGUAGGUAACUCCUCCCUUGGUCAGGGUCUUUUUGCAGCGAGUGCAGCGAGGAGCAAACUUGCUCUCGUAACAGGGGACACAGUAAUAAUCCUUCUUGUCUGGGAUGAAGGAUCGUGACCCGAUGGGCUGCUGGCAGCUGCUGCAUAUGAAGCAGUGCUCGUGCCAGGUUUGUCCAUUGUACUCCAGCUUGCGGGACCCUGGCAUAACUGUCUUCUCACAGGCAAUGCACUUGGAGGAGAACUCAUUGCAGUAGCAGUCAUUGCACAGCAGCUCCUCGUCCUGGCAGGUGAAGGGCUCGUCAGCCAGCGAGCGGUCACAGCGGAAGCAGCGGAAGCAGUGCUCGUGGUAGUGGCGAUCCUCGUAGUACAGCUCCCUGCAGUCGUGGCCGAUCAGCUCCUUGCACUCAUCACAGGUAUUGGCGAAGUGAGCAUCAUAGCAGGGGAUGCAGUAUGGGCCAUUGUCCAUCUGGAUGUACUUGCGCCCAUACAAGGACUCCUUGCAGUUGUCGCAGUCGAAGCACUCGGUCAUGGUGCCGGUCUGAGGGCCGCCUUCACCUGCUGCUCACCGUCCCGCUGCUCGCCCCGGCGCCGGGCUGCGCUGGGCACGGCUCUGCUCUGCUCCUCAGCGCUGAGCGCGGCCCCGCCCGGCCCGGG